UACGGUGAGGGAUGAAAGCUGGGGGCACGAACCGGAUUAGAUACCCGGGUAGUCCCAGCUGUAAACUAUGCUCGCUAGGUGUCAGGGACGGUGCGACCUUUUCUGGUGCCGCAGGAAAGCCGUGAAGCGAGCCACCUGGGAAGUACGGUCGCAAGGCUGAAACUUAAAGGAAUUGGCGGGGGAGCACUACAACGGGUGGAGCCUGCGGUUCAAUUGGAGUCAACGCCG
rnacentral:rRNA from 1 species